GACGAACGCUGGCGGCGCGCUUAACACAUGCAAGUCGAACGGAAAGGCCUGCUUUCCCUUGUGGAUUGCGGGUACUCGAGUGGCGAACGGGUGAGUAACACGUGAGUGAUCUGCCCCCAACUUGGGUAUAAGCCUGGGAAACUGGGUCUAAUUCCCGAUAGGACUGCAGGGUGGUGCCUGUGGUGGAACACGAUUUUCUAGUGGUUGGGGAUGAGCUCGCGGCCUAUCAGCUUGUUGGUGGGGUAAUGGCCUACCAAGGCGGCGACGGGUAGCCGGCCUGAGAGGGUGGACGGCCACAGUGGGACUGAGAUACGGCCCAGACUCCUACGGGAGGCAGCAGUGGGGAAUAUUGCACAAUGGGCGGAAGCCUGAUGCAGCGACGCCGCGUGGGGGAUGACGGCCUUCGGGUGGUAAACUCCUUUCGACCGCGAGGAAGCCACCUGGUUGGAAGGGUGGUGACGGUAGUGGUAGAAGAAGCACCGGCUAACUACGUG
rnacentral:rRNA from 1 species